GCGUUGUUCGGAUUCAUUGGGCGUAAAGCGUGCGUAGGUGGCCUGUUAAGUCUGAUGUGAAAGCCCCGGGCUCAACCUGGGAAUUGCAUUGGAUACUGGCAGGCUAGAGUGCGGUAGAGGGUAGUGGAAUUCCCGGUGUAGCAGUGAAAUGCGUAGAGAUCGGGAGGGACAUCUGUGGCGAAGGCGGCCAUCUGGGCCAGCACUGACACUGAGGCACGAAAGCGUG
rnacentral:rRNA from 1 species